CGCUGGCAUUAGCUCAAUUUGAUUAUGCGAAGGAGCUCGUGAGAGACGACCGCCUUCAAGAUGCGGCAAAAGAGGCUAAGAAAGCGAAGGUAAUUCUCAAGGAAACCGACAAGGAAGAUGCUAUCGAAUAGCUUCGGAGGAUGACGGUGGGUACGAAAGAAGCCAAAUCUGCAUAUGAAUAUGAAAGAAGCCAAAAGAAUCAAGCUUCACCUAUCUUCAAUUUUAUGAGUUGAAUUUUCUAUAAUCAAUUAUCUUCCAAUAAAAGCAGUGGAAUUCAUAUAUGCAUCUACGUGUAUGUUAAAUAAAAUCCAAAUAUGGUACAUGCACCUUAAUUUCUCUUUCUGCAUAACAAGUGGUUUAAAAUUGAAAAUGGGUUUCUUUCUUUUUCAUUCUUUUAAGCUUCUACAGGAAUUUGACUUUAUUCCACACAAACACCAUUUCUGCACCUUAAUUUCACCUUUUUUGUAUUCAUUUUCUGUUUCUGUUUAAAAGGGUCAUCUGUUCUUGCAGGGAAGCUGUUUAUCAGUUUCAGUUUUUAGAAAUAGAUACUUUCUGUAUAAUUAAUCACUGAUUUGAGUACCCUCUUAAAUAUUAUGGUAUUUGUUUACCUUAUAUAA